rnacentral:autocatalytically_spliced_intron from 1 species
AACCGCCGUAUACCGAACGGUACGUACGGUGGUGUGAGAGAACGGGAGCUUGCCGCUCCCUCCUACUCAAU